GGAUGAAGAAAGUUAUUUUGAAUUCAUUUGCAAGCUCAGAAUUUUUUCACCUUGCUUGGAUCUGAGGUCAAAGUCUCCUGCAGACUGCACACUGUUUUUCACCAUCAGUCUGUGACGAAUAGGAACCUUCCAGGAGGUGUCGGUGAUCAGGAGGAGAUGGGUGCGAUCAGACAGCAGCUGGGCAAACAGGAAGGCACAGAGCGUGUGGCCACAAGGAUGCGGACGGACUGAGGGACCAGGCUUAGUGAGUGGUCCAUUCAGGAGGACAGUACGCAGCCAUCCUCAAAGUGGGCCAGGGGUGAGCACAGCAUGGAAUUGAGAACAGGAGAGCUUGCCUUCCUGUAAGUGAUAACGUGG
ensembl:lncRNA